ACUGUACUAUUUAAUAUAGUGUAGUAGCGCCAUCGGUGGGAAACUGCUCAAGUUUGUUCUGAAAAUAGUUCUCAUUGUUUCUGUAAGAUGGCAGCAGCGAUACAUUCAAAUUAAUUAUUCUAUAUUUUUCAUAAAAACAUAAUUAAUACCAUUCUUUGUUUCAUAACACUACAAUAUAUUAGUUGAUAUGACAAGUUUAUCAUUUCGAUGAUUAAUUAUUUAAUUUAGCACUAAAUAUCGAAGCUUUAGUUAAUGGAGCCAUCUGGUAGCGAUAGUAGGAAUUACUUUCACUACAAACUUGAGCGUUUUGUCACCGAUGGCGCCACUUCAAACUGUGCUUUGAUUGUGUUGGUGCAUCUGAAGUACGUAUAGGGUUAGGAUUCAGUUUAACACAUAUAACUUAUAUGCGACGUAAGCAGACAUAACAUCUAUCAGCCGUCACGCUGCGAAUCUGUUAUAGAAGAAAUAAGACAGUGCUGUAUUGUACAUAAGAAGGUGUCAACAGUUUGUGAAGGAAUAGAUAUUUCUAAGAAAUACGAGCACAAUACUGUUGAUUAU